rnacentral:rRNA from 1 species
UACGAAGGGGGCUAGCGUUGCUCGGAAUCACUGGGCGUAAAGGGUGCGUAGGCGGGUCUUUAAGUCAGGGGUGAAAUCCUGGAGCUCAACUCCAGAACUGCCUUUGAUACUGAAGAUCUUGAGUUCGGGAGAGGUGAGUGGAACUGCGAGUGUAGAGGUGGAAUUCGUAGAUAUUCGCAAGAACACCAGUGGCGAAGGCGGCUCACUGGCCCGAGUACUGACGCUGAGGUGCGAAAGCGUGGGGAGCAAAGCAGG